GAUGCUUAAGAAACUGGAGCAUCUCUUAUAUGAUGAGAGGCUGAGACACUUGGGACUGUUUAGCCUGGAGAAAGGAAGGCUCAGGGUGGAUCUUAUCAAUGUUUAUUAAUAUCUUAUGGGAGGGUGUAAAGAAGACAGAGUCAAACUGACUGGUGCCCAGUGACAGGACAAGAGUCAAUGGGCUCAAAUUGAAACACAAGAAAUUCCACCUGAACAUAAAAGAAAAGAAAAGAAAAAAUUUUACUGUGAGGGUGACAGAGCACUGGAACAGGUUGCCCAGAGAAGUUGCAGAGUCUCCAUCCUUGGAGAUAUUCAAAACCCAACUGGACACAAUCCUGGGCAACCUGCUCUAGGUGACCCUGCUUGAGCAGGGGGGUUCAUUAGACGAUCUCCAGAGGUCCCUCCCAACCUCAACUACUCUGUGAUUCUGUGACCAGGCAUCAUUAUUUUUGCUGCUCAAGAACAGUUUUAGUAAAUAUUUAAUUUCCUUAGUACCGAAGUUUUGUCUGCAUAUCAAACUUAUUCUGAAAUAGGUAUAUUCUGGAAUAAUUCUGCAUGUUCAUAUUUCUCUUCUGAGAAUGGUUUAGGUGAGACAGGUAUCUGGAAUAAUUACAUAUGCAAAGCCCUAACCUUGCAUGCAGUAUUUCAAGUUCUUGGACUUGUUCUGUUGCAUGACAACUACUUGACAACACCUAUUGAUUCUUGAUUUAGUUUGGCAGGAUCUCAUGUGUGCAUGACCAACAAAUAACACAUUCAAAGCUAAGCUAACUUUUCUUCUCUAUGCUGGCCAAGUUCGAGAAAAGUUGUAGCAGAGGUCUUUCCCUGCAGUGUCCUCUUCACAGCAUCCUUCCGGUGGUGGGGCAUGCAAUCUUCAGUAGCAGAAACUACAACGUUGAAUUGGGAAAUGCAAGAUUCAGCCUCCAAAGAUGAGAAACAAUUUGAAAAGAUGCACUUUUACAAUUUUCACCACAGACUAAAUAACCAUUUUUAAUAGUAUCACUUUAGCACCAGACAGAGCAUUAGAAAACAACAGCUUUCCAGAUAUCGCAAUGAAGUUUAAUAGAUUAAAGGAGAGAAAGUAAAAAUUAUAUGCCCCAUUAUUCAGAAACCAUCAGAAGAUGUAUUGGUAUUUCAGCAUUAUUUUGUCAAAUACUCUACAGAGUGAAUGAUUAUUAACACAAUUAUUCCUCUGUGCUCAUAAAUAGAUGUUAAUGAGAUGUUAAACAUGUUUGUCCCUGGCUGGUGUUUUACAUAAAUAAGUGUGUUAAAACAUUUUUGACACUGUGAAUUUUACCUAGUUGUCAUAAGAAGGGUUUUUAAAAUUGAAAAGGAGUAUGUUCCACAAAAACUUGGUAUAGUGAGGAACUAGUUUGGAGUUUGUAUCACCAGAUCCAAUACAUAACUCUGUUGCAAGCUGGAAGAAUAUCUGCCAUUUUAGUAUCUCCAGGCUUCUCCAGUUACAUCUCCAGUUUCAUGGAACCCAGACUGAAAAUGCCUUCCUUAGCAAUCAAUUAAAAAUAUAAGCGUAAUUCUAACCUCAACUGAUGUAGUAAGUUAAUGCAACUUAGCUGGAAAAAAAGUUCAGAUGGUUGUAAUUACUAAGGAUUGCCUGCCAUUAGAUGCAGGCACAUAAAUUAAUUUCCUUUUUUUAAUAAAGUAAUGCCACUGCAGUUAUGCA
rnacentral:lncRNA from 1 species